rnacentral:rRNA from 1 species
CGCGGCCUAUCAGCUUGUUGGUGAGGUAAUGGCUCACCAAGGCGACGACGGGUAGCCGGCCUGAGAGGGCGACCGGCCACACUGGGACUGAGACACGGCCCAGACUCCUACGGGAGGCAGCAGUGGGGAAUAUUGCACAAUGGGCGAAAGCCUGACGCAGCAAUGCCGCGUGCGGGACGAAGGCCCUAGAGUCGUAAACCGCUUUCAGUAGGGACGAAAAUGACGGUACCUGCAGAAGAAGCUCCGGCCAACUACGUGCCAGCAGCCGCGGUGAUACGUAGGGAGCAAGCGUUGUCCGGAAUUACUGGGCGUAAAGGGCUCGUAGGUGGUUGAGUAAGUCAGAUGUGAAAUCUCAGGGCCCAACCCUGAGCGUGCAUUUGAUACUGCUCUGACUAGAGUCCGGUAGGGGAGUGCGGAAUUCCUGGUGUAGCGGUGAAAUGCGCAGAUAUCAGGAGGAACACCGACAGCGAAGGCAGCACUCUGGGCCGGUACUGACACUGAGGAGCGAAAGCAUGGGUAGCAAACAGGAUUAGAUACCCUGGUAGUCCAUGCCGUAAACGUUGGGCACUAGGUGUGGGGAGAACUCAACUCUCUCCGCGCCGUAGCUAACGCAUUAAGUGCCCCGCCUGGGGAGUACGGA